rnacentral:rRNA from 1 species
UACGUAGGGGGCUAGCGUUGUCCGGAUUUAUUGGGCGUAAAGAGCGUGUAGGCGGCCAGGUAGGUCUGCUGUGAAAACUCGAGGCUCAACCUCGAGACGUCGGCGGAAACCAUCUGGCUAGAGUCCGGAAGAGGCGAGUGGAAUUCCUGGUGUAGCGGUGGAAUGCGCAGAUAUCAGGAGGAACACCGGUGGCGAAGGCGGGUCUCUGGGCCGAAACUGACGCUGAGAGACGAAAGCUAGGGGAGCAAAUGGG